rnacentral:lncRNA from 1 species
CGAUUGAUCCACGUUUAACCCGCAAAAUGGGUUUGAAAUGCGCCUGCAAAUAUUCCUCAAAAGGAGACGGUGUGAGAUUAAUUAGGAUUCAUCGCCCUUAUAACAUCAUUUUUGGCAAAAACCUUAUAAUAUCAUUGACAAUAGGGUAUUUGGCAAAAACGAUAACCAUAUUUCUAGUUUUGAUAAAAAUUAAUCAGAAUUUUCAGUAUUCGCAGAAAUGGUAAGUUCAGCUUUUUUUUUGGGGAAGGAUAGAGAGCAAGUGCAACAAC